rnacentral:rRNA from 1 species
AGUACGUGAAACUGAUUAGAGGUUAAGCCCGAUGAACCUGAAUAUCCAUUAUGGAAAAUUCAAUACUAAUAUUGCGAUAUAUUCAAUAUCGUAGAAAUAGUGUGCAAUUUUUCCAUAUAAGGACAUUGUAAUCUGUUAAUGUUAUAAAUAUUUAUCAAAAGAUCUUUUACUUAAGUUUAUUCAAAUUGUUUAUCUUCGGAUUUUCAACAUAAAAUAAAUGUAUUAGAUUCGAUAAAUCAUUGACAGAUAUAAUUAUAUAAUUUGCUUAAAUUUUUCGGAAUUUUACAAUGAUGAGUAGAUCUAUUGAUUUAUUUAUUUAAUUGUAUGCAUUUUUAUGAUUGACAAUGCGAUAGAUUCAGGAUACCUUCGGGACCCGUCUUGAAACACGGACCAAGGAGUCUAACAUAUGUGCAAGUCAUUGGGUAUUUUUAAUAAAACCCAAUGGCAUAAUUAACUUAACUGAUAUAAUGGGAUUAGUUUAUAAUUUAUUAUGAAUUAUUUAUUCAAUCCCGGGGCGUUCUAUAUAGUUAUGCAUAAUGAUAUUUAUAUUAUUUAUGCCUCUAACUAGAGCGUACCUUGAGC